UACGUAGGUGGCAAGCGUUAUCCGGAAUUAUUGGGCGUAAAGCGCGCGUAGGCGGUUUCUUAAGUCUGAUGUGAAAGCCCACGGCUCAACCGUGGAGGGUCAUUGGAAACUGGGAAACUUGAGUGCAGAAGAGGAAAGUGGAAUUCCAUGUGUAGCGGUGAAGUGCGCAGAGAUAUGGAGGAACACCAGUGGCGAAGGCGACUUUCUGGUCUGUAACUGACGCUGAUGUGCGAAAGCGUGGGGAUCAAACAGG
rnacentral:rRNA from 1 species